UACGUAGGGUGCGAGCGUUGUCCGGAAUUAUUGGGCGUAAAGAGCUCGUAGGCGGUGUGUCACGUCGGCCGUGAAAACCUGCAGCUUAACUGUGGGCGUGCGGUCGAUACGGGCAUCACUGGAGUUCGGCAGGGGAGACUGGAAUUCCUGGUGUAGCGGUGAAAUGCGCAGAUAUCAGGAAGAACACCCGUGGCGAAGGCGGCUCUCUGGUACGUGACUGACGCUGAGACGCGAAAGCGUGGGGAGCGAACAGG
rnacentral:rRNA from 1 species